AAUGUCAACGCCAACCCCGCGAUAUAAAAUAUGGGACACUUCGGCUGCUAUGCCCUCGCACUCAACAAAUCAGCAUGACCAGCGACGGUACAGCACCUCCGAUAAGGAUUAGCAUAUUGGAGCUCCGGAAGUGAAACUUGUCCUGGACGCUUGCUAACCCACUCACCGAGUCCGACGAGACAGACGACGAGAGCGAGCACGCAGAGCAUGUUGGGUUUGGUGAUCCUCCAGCAACCACUGUACGCAUGAAGGCGGCACUGGCCGCCUUUUCAUACCGGUUCACUUUCCGACUUACCCUCAAAACCGGGACAGCGCCGCCUAGGCCUCCCUUGCAGCCACGUGGACCGACAGGAAGGGACGCGGCUUUCGCCGAUCACGUGCAGAUAAGAUGGGCCAGAAACUAUCGACCACCGAGAUCUUCGGCGAUUAUUAAAUAACUCUGCAUCACAACAAACAUCCAACGAAUCAACUGUCAAAUAUGUGUUGCUGUUACCGUUUAUUACUGUUAAUGUUACAGUUUGUGAGGGUGUGCUGUUUUGCCGUUGCGACCAUAACCAAGACGUUUAUCAUUGUUCCGUUGAUUGAUUGUGUUCAUAAAAGGGAAGAUGUAGGUUGAAGUCUAAUAUGAAGUGUAAUGGUAUCGACAUUGAUUCCUUUGUUGCGAACCACCAAGUGAGUUGGAUACUGGAUGCUCAUCUAGCAUAAAGUGAAAAGGCAUGCUCCACCACGCCGCUGAGUUGUUUCGAGGAGUGAUUGAGUUGUAUUUGAUGAACAUUGUAUUUUUACAUAUUUGAUGUUUGAUUUGUAGGAUACUGUUCAAACCAGCUAGUUGAGUUAUACCUAUGAAGUGUACGAUUUUUUUUUUUUACAUACAUUACAUGUAUCCCCUCCACAGUCAUGAUCUACACUGCUUAUAAUCAGUGGCGUAUCUAGGGUGUGGCAGGUGUGGGCAGGUGCCAUGGGCGCCAGGUGAAUAGGGGCGCCAUUAUGUGGUUGGGUGUGAAUGUGCCAGGUCGGGCACUCAACCUGGCACAUUCAUAAAUCAUCUAAAGCACCCGCUAUUAGAGAGGUUGUACUGUGAAACCUAGUUCGGACCACACGAAAACGCAUUCCCAAAGACAUCAUGUUAACCAUGCUGCCAUGGGCGCAGGUAGCUCUAGAUACGCCACUGCUUAUAAUUACAUGCAACAUUCGAAUGAACCUUGUAAGGCUCGCUCAAGUUGAGAGGAAUUGCAACCAUGACCAACUAGACCAUGGUUUAGGGGUUAUGGUCCAACUGGAAGAUGAAUUUUGACACUUACAGGAUUGGCGAUGACGGCAGUCAGAAAAAUACAGAGAUUCGCUGUGGUCGUACAGGUUCUUAUAAAGGUCGCAGGACCUCACCCAUCGUUUCCUAAGCCUCUGCCAAAGGUCACAGCGUAACUUUUGCGAGUUCAUAAGCGUGCGAAUCGUAUUUAGGUAUCCAUCGAAAGUGGCCUUUGUGGCGAAGGAUUUGGCAGUCUAGACUGGACGUCAGUGUCAUUUGUGUAUUCGUUGCUAGUAAAACACGUCCUCUGUC